CCUACGGGAGGCAGCAGUGGGGAAUAUUGGACAAUGGGGGGAACCCUGACCCAGCGACGCCGCGUGAGUGAAGAAGUCUUUCGGUAUGUAAAGCUCUAUCCGCAGGGACGAAAGAAAUGACGGUACCUGACUAAUAAGCCACGGCUAACUACGUGCCAGCAGCCGCGGUAAUACGUAGGGGGCAAGCGUUAUCCGGAUUUAUUGGGUGUAAAGGGCGCGUAGACGGGGGUGCAAGUCUGAAGUGAAAGGCGAGGGCCCAACCCUGGGACUGCAUUGGAAACUGUGUGGCUGGAGUGCAGGAGAGGUAAGUGGAAUUCCGUGUGUAGCGGUGAAAUGCGUAGAUAUUAGGAGGAACACCAGUGGCGAAGGCGGAUUGCUGGACUGUAACUGACGUUGAGGCGCGAAAGCGUGGGGAGCAAACAGGAUUAGAUACCCUUGUAGUC
rnacentral:rRNA from 1 species